rnacentral:rRNA from 1 species
CCUACGGGAGGCAGCAGUGAGGAAUAUUGGUCAAUGGUCGGGAGACUGAACCAGCCAAGCCGCGUGAGGGAUGAAGGUACAGAGUAUCGUAAACCUCUUUUGUCAGGGAACAAAGGCGGGGACGUGUCCCCGGAUGAGUGUACCUGAAGAAAAAGCAUCGGCUAACUCCGUGCCAGCAGCCGCGGUAAUACGGAGGAUGUGAGCGUUAUCCGGAUUUAUUGGGUUUAAAGGGUGCGCAGGCGGUCUGUUAAGUCAGCGGUCAAAGCCCGGGGCUCAACCCCGGCCCGCCGUUGAAACUGGCAGUCGCGAGUUGGAGAGAAGUAUGCGGAAUGCGCGGUGUAGCGGUGAAAUGCAUAGAUAUCGCGCAGAACUCCGAUUGCGAAGGCAGCAUGCCGGCUCCACACUGACGCUGAGGCACGAAAGCGUGGGUAUCGAACAGGAUUAGAUACCCUUGUAGUC